AGAGAGACAGUUGAAAAACAUGGAGACACAACUACUAACAGGGGGAAUCACAUGGAGCACUUGAUGUUUUGAUUGCAUUUUCGGUGGUCAAAUUGAAAACAUUCUCAUCUUUGGUAGUAUCUGACAACUCAUUCAGUGAAUAUAUGUCACUAGUUCAUUGUUGAAUGUGUCAGAAGACCUUCCAGAGACAAGAGGAAGAGGGAGGGAAUCUGCCACUAAAGGACAAAUCACUGCAUUCCGUUCUAAUAAAAUCCAGGUAGAACAGUAGAAAGCCUCUGCAUUGAGCCUUCCGCACAACCUAGCUGCCUUUUUGCAUGAAGUACUAUAAAUCAUGAGCCGGUUAUUAAUCCUGCAAGUUUCCUCACACUGUCCCCAACACAUAACAUCACUAGUUCCAAUGCAGAGGGCAAUUAACAGCUCAGGCUGCCUGCAGGGUUCAACUGACAUCCAGCAGCUUCAAAUCUACCUGAUGUGACCUGGAGCGCAGAUCGAUCACUGAGUCAAGACAAACGAAAACACACUACAGGAACUGCUCAGUUAUCAUUACACCGAUAUGACCCACUUCAAGCCCUCUGCCAAUGAGACUGACGUUCUUAGCCGCUCGGCGGGCGGACAAACAGUGAGGAUUGAAGAGGAUUGUGACCGGUGCGAAGCAGUGAUCGGCUCUGUACCCACCAUGUUGACUCGGACCGGUUGGAAGAGAGGCACCGGAAGUUCAGACAGGAAGUUUACAGCUGACGGCCGCCGCUGUCACAGCGCCUUGCCCCACAGCGACCACUAGCGGCGAGAGGUGAGAGGUGAAAGAAAACAAGGCAUCCUUUAUAUUAUUGAGGUUUAAAAGAUGAAUAUUUGAUAUGUUUGUGUGUUAUAUUAUGUUCUGUUAUUUGUGUUUCUGUUAUAUGUAUUUUGUUUUCCAUAUAUUUUUCACCUGUCUUUAUGUUUUGCUCUGACUUGUAAUCUUAACAAUCUGGUAUUUUUUAUAAUCCGUGUAGUUGUCAUAAUCUCUACUCACACUCACCCUGUGCUACACUUUGCAUUCGAGAAAUAAAACACUAUGGCCUUCUUUGUUUUUGUAGUUUUGACUUUUAAGUACACUGAGUUCACACGUGGCUGUCUGGUACGUGCAUUUAUAUAUUUAUUUAUAUUUCAACAGGUACUUUUGUAUGUUACCUGAGACGAGCGAUAUUCUUUAAAUUUAGACAUUUUCCAGAGUAAAUUGCUGUUUUUGUCGUGAAAGAUUUACUAAAUGAUUCGCUGUCUAUGUUCAUGUUAAUGGUCCUGAUGGUAUGUUAUGUUGUUCUCAUCCAUGAACUCAACAGCUACUGCCGCUGGUUUUGAACGUGAUGCAAUAAAUUUACUCUGACACUAAGGUAAAUAAACUUGAUCCAUCAUGUACAUGUUUGCAAGUCUGAAUCUAAAUGAUUAGUACAAAAUCAUCUGACAGAAGACAUUCCCACAAGGUGGAGAGAUCUUUUAUUUUACAUAAAAAAGGGUGCAAACUGGAGUUUCCCUUUAGGUGUGGAGGGAAUAAAAAGUGAUUUUAUAAGGUUCAUGUGUGAAACAUUGUAUUCAUAUGAAUCCAAGGAGGAAAAAGAAAAAAAAAACAGGCAUCUCAGAUAAAAAAGGA